GGUAUCAUAUGCUUGUCUCAAAGAUUAAGCCAUGCAUGUCUAAGUAUAAGCACUUUAUACUGUGAAACUGCGAAUGGCUCAUUAAAUCAGUUAUCGUUUAUUUGAUAGUACCUUACUACAUGGAUACCUGUGGUAAUUCUAGAGCUAAUACAUGCUGAAAACCUCGACUUCGGAAGGGGUGUAUUUAUUAGAUAAAAAACCAAUGCCCUUCGGGGCUCCUUGGUGAAUCAUAAUAACUUAACGAAUCGCAUGGCCUUGCGCCGGCGAUGAUUCAUUCAAAUUUCUGCCCUAUCAACUUUCGAUGGUAGGAUAGUGGCCUACCAUGGUGGCAACGGGUAACGGGGAAUUAGGGUUCGAUUCCGGAGAGGGAGCCUGAGAAACGGCUACCACAUCCAAGGAAGGCAGCAGGCGCGCAAAUUACCCAAUCCCGACACGGGGAGGUAGUGACAAUAAAUACUGAUACGGGGCUCUUUUGGGUCUCGUAAUUGGAAUGAGUACAAUCUAAAUCCCUUAACGAGGAACAAUUGGAGGGCAAGUCUGGUGCCAGCAGCCGCGGUAAUUCCAGCUCCAAUAGCGUAUAUUAAAGUUGUUGCAGUUAAAAAGCUCGUAGUUGAACCUUGGGGUCUGGCUGGCCGGUCCGCCUCACCGCGAGUACUGGUCCGGCUGGACCUUUCCUUCUGGGGAAUCUCAUGGCCUUCACUGGCUGUGGGGGGAACCAGGACUUUUACUGUGAAAAAAUUAGAGUGUUCAAAGCAGGCCUUUGCUCGAAUACAUUAGCAUGGAAUAAUAGAAUAGGACGUGCGGUUCUAUUUUGUUGGUUUCUAGGACCGCCGUAAUGAUUAAUAGGGAUAGUCGGGGGCGUCAGUAUUCAGCUGUCAGAGGUGAAAUUCUUGGAUUUGCUGAAGACUAACUACUGCGAAAGCAUUCGCCAAGGAUGUUUUCAUUAAUCAGGGAACGAAAGUUAGGGGAUCGAAGACGAUCAGAUACCGUCGUAGUCUUAACCAUAAACUAUGCCGACUA
rnacentral:rRNA from 1 species